UGGGGAAUCUUGGACAAUGGGGGCAACCCUGAUCCAGCGACGCCGCGUGGGUGAUGAAGGCCUUCGGGUUGUAAAGCCCUUUUGCCGGGGACGAUGAUGACGGUACCCGGCGAAUAAGCACCGGCUAACUCCGUGCCAGCAGCCGCGGUAAGACGGAGGGUGCUAGCGUUGUUCGGAAUUACUGGGCGUAAAGGGCGCGUAGGCGGCCUGUUGCGUCGGAUGUGAAAGCCCGGGGCUCAACCCCGGAACGGCAUCCGAUACGGGCAGGCUGGAGACCGGGAGAGGAGGGUGGAAUAGCCAGUGUAGAGGUGAAAUUCGUAGAUAUUGGCUGGAACACCGGUGGCGAAAGCGGCUCUCUGGCCCGGUUCUGACGCUGAGGCGCGAAAGCGUGGGGAGCAAACA
rnacentral:rRNA from 1 species